GUCUACGGCCAUACCACCCUGAACGCGCCCGAUCUCGUCUGAUCUCGGAAGCUAAGCAGGGUCGGGCCUGUUUAGUACUUGGAUGGAAGAGGACACUGUAGAAG
rnacentral:rRNA from 1 species